rnacentral:rRNA from 2 species
UACGUAGGGUGCAAGCGUUGUCCGGAUUUAUUGGGCGUAAAGAGCUCGUAGGCGGCUCGUCACGUCGGAUGUGAAAACUCGGGGCUUAACCCCGAGCCUGCAUUCGAUACGGGCGGGCUAGAAUUCGGUAGGGGAGACUGGAAUUCCUGGUGUAGCGGUGAAAUGCGCAGAUAUCAGGAGGAACACCGAUGGCGAAGGCAGGUCUCUGGGCCGAUAUUGACGCUGAGGAGCGAAAGCGUGGGGAGCGAACAGG